CGGGAGGGGAGAGUGGGCGCCAUCUUGUUCGGGCUCACUGAGGGUUCUGCCUGUUCAGUGGAGGCUGCUGCGAAGAGUGCCCCAGCCCCUGGCCUGUGUGUCCGAGUCGGAGCAGUGCCUCCUUGUGGCGGUGUGUGUGCGCUUCCCAGUGAUCUUGACACUGAAGAUCGCGAAGGAUCUCAUAGGUCAUUAU
rnacentral:lncRNA from 1 species